ACACUCCUGCGGGAGGCAGCAGUGGGGAAUUUUGGACAAUGGGCGAAAGCCUGAUCCAGCAAUGCCGCGUGCAGGAUGAAGGCCUUCGGGUUGUAAACUGCUUUUGUACGGAACGAAAAAGCUCCUUCUAAUACAGGGGGCCCAUGACGGUACCGUAAGAAUAAGCACCGGCUAAAUACGUGCCAGCAGCCGCGGCAAUACGUAGGGUGCGAGCGUUAAUCGGAAUUACUGGGCGUAAAGCGUGCGCAGGCGGUUAUGUAAGACAGAUGUGAAAUCCCCGGGCUCAACCUGGGAACUGCAUUUGUGACUGCAUGGCUAGAGUACGGUAGAGGGGGAUGGAAUUCCGCGUGUAGCAGUGAAAUGCGUAGAUAUGCGGAGGAACACCGAUGGCGAAGGCAAUCCCCUGGACCUGUACUGACGCUCAUGCACGAAAGCGUGGGGAGCAAACAGGAUUAGAUACCCUAGUAGUCCCAUGA
rnacentral:rRNA from 1 species